CCUACGGGAGGCAGCAGUGAGGAAUAUUGGUCAAUGGGCGCGAGCCUGAACCAGCCAAGUAGCGUGAAGGAUGACUGCCCUGCGGGUUGUAAACUUCUUUUAUAAAGGAAUAAAGUGAGGGACGUGUGCCUUUUUGUUUGUACUUUAUGAAUAAGGAUCGGCUAACUCCGUGCCAGCAGCCGCGGUAAUACGGAGGAUCCGAGCGUUAUCCGUAUUUAUUGGGUUUAAAGGGUGCGUAGAUUGGUUGUUAAGUCAGUUGUGAAAGUUUUCGGCUCAACCGUAACAUUACAAUUGAUCCUGGCAGUCUUGAGUACAGUUGAGGUAGGCGGAAUGCGUGGUGUAGCGGUGAAAUGCUUAGAUAUCACGAAGAACUCCGAUUGCGAAGGCAGCUUACUAAACUGCCACUGACAUUGAUGCUCGAAAGUGUGGGUAUCGAACAGGAUUAGAUACCCGAGUAGUC
rnacentral:rRNA from 1 species